UAAUCAACCAACGUCUUCAUUAAGUUAACUUGGUCUAUCUUGUGUAUCACAUGUCCAUUCAAUCAACCAAGGAAUCGACAACGAAUCGGAGCCCUCCGGUGUUUGAGUCACCGAGCCAAUUAGUAGUCGGAGACACAAACCAGCAGGCAGAUUCCCAUGGACGGCAAUAAUUGAUUUUGGUGCAAUGUACAUGUUAUGGGCUUACAGAUUCCCAGGGUGGAGUUACCAUGGAAGCUUGUAGGCCGUGUCCACCAGGACUCUACUGCGCCCAACCGGCCCUCACUCAGCCCACUGGUCAGUGUACUGAAGGCCACUACUGCCCUGAAGGACAGACCUGCGGUACACCCAAACAACACGUCUGUCAGCCUGGACACCAUUGUGAGAAGGGCAGUGUCAGAGAGACAGCGUGUCAGCCAGGCAGCUAUCAGCCCAGAGAAGGGCAGGGCAGCUGUGAGACAUGCCCUGCUGGCUCCUACUGUCCAGACCAAGGUACGACCCUUCCGGUCGGCUGUGACAGGGGAUAUUAUUGUAUCCGUGGAUCGGAAAAUCAGCGCUCUUGUCCCGCGGGGACCUACAGCAACCAAUCUGGAUUGGUGAAUGAAUCACACUGCCUGCGCUGUGACCCCGGCUAUUUCUGUAAAGAAGCAG